rnacentral:rRNA from 1 species
UACAGAGGUGGCAAGCGUUGCUCGGUAUCACUGGGCUUAAAGGGCGCGUAGGCGGUGCGGUACGGUUUCGGUGAAAUCCUCGGCCCAACCGAGGAACAGCCGGGGCUACGGCCGGACUAGACGGCAUCAGGGGACAGUGGAAGCUCCCGGUGGAGCGGUGAAAUGCGUAGAUAUCGGGAGGAACGGCCGGUGGCGAAAGCGAUCUGCUGGACCUUUUCUGACGCUGAGGCGCGAAAGCCAGGGGAGCAAACGGG